AGAGUUUGAUCAUGGCUCAGAACGAACGUUAGCGGCGCGCCUAACACAUGCAAGUCGCACGAGAAAGGGCUUCGGCCCCGGUACAGUGGCGCACGGGUGAGUAACACGUAGAUCAUCUCCCCUCGAGUGGUGGAUAACUCUCCGAAAGGAGAGCUAAUACAGCAUAAGACCACGGCUUCGUUGAAGCUGCGGCCAAAGCAGGCCUCUACACGUAAGCUUGCGCUUGAGGAUGAGUCUGCGGCCCAUCAGCUAGUUGGUAGGGUAAUGGCCUACCAAGGCUAAGACGGGUAGCUGGUCUGAGAGGAUGAACAGCCACACUGGAACUGAGACACGGUCCAGACUCCUACGGGAGGCAGCAGUGGGGAAUCUUGCGCAAUGGGCGAAAGCCUGACGCAGCGACGCCGCGUGAGCGAUGAAGGCCUUCGGGUUGUAAAGCUCUGUGGGGAGGAAAGAAUAAGGCUUGGCUAACAUCCAAGCUGAUGACGGUACCUCCUUAGCAAGCACCGGCUAACUCUGUGCCAGCAGCCGCGGUAAGACAGAGGGUGCAAACGUUGUUCGGAAUUACUGGGCGUAAAGCGCGUGUAGGCGGCCCUGCAAGUCGGAUGUGAAAUCCCAUGGCUCAACUAUGGAAGUGCAUUCGAAACUGCAGGGCUAGAGUCCUGGAGAGGAAGGUGGAAUGCUUGGUGUAGAGGUGAAAUUCGUAGAUAUCAAGCGGAACACCGGUGGCGAAGGCGGCCUUCUGGACAGUGACUGACGCUGAGACGCGAAAGCGUGGGGAGCAAACAGGAUUAGAUACCCUAGUAGUCC
rnacentral:rRNA from 1 species